rnacentral:rRNA from 1 species
UACAGAGACUGCAAGCGUUAUUCGGAUUCACUGGGCGUAAAGGGUGCGCAGGUGGUCGUGUGUGUCAGAUGUGAAAUCCCGGGGCUUAACUCCGGAACUGCGUCUGAAACUGCACGACUAGAGCAUUGGAGAGGGUAGUGGAAUUCACGGUGUAGCAGUGAAAUGCGUAGAUAUCGUGAGGAACACCAGAGGCGAAGGCGACUUUCUGGACAUUUACUGACACUGAGACGCGAAAGCGUGGGGAGCAAACAGG